rnacentral:rRNA from 2 species
UCGAGCGGACAGAAGGGAGCUUGCUCCCGGAUGUUAGCGGCGGACGGGUGAGUAACACGUGGGUAACCUGCCUGUAAGACUGGGAUAACUCCGGGAAACCGGAGCUAAUACCGGAUAGUUCCUUGAACCGCAUGGUUCAAGGAUGAAAGACGGUUUCGGCUGUCACUUACAGAUGGACCCGCGGCGCAUUAGCUAGUUGGUGAGGUAACGGCUCACCAAGGCGACGAUGCGUAGCCGACCUGAGAGGGUGAUCGGCCACACUGGGACUGAGACACGGCCCAGACUCCUACGGGAGGCAGCAGUAGGGAAUCUUCCGCAAUGGACGAAAGUCUGACGGAGCAACGCCGCGUGAGUGAUGAAGGUUUUCGGAUCGUAAAGCUCUGUUGUUAGGGAAGAACAAGUGCAAGAGUAACUGCUUGCACCUUGACGGUACCUAACCAGAAAGCCACGGCUAACUACGUGCCAGCAGCCGCGGUAAUACGUAGGUGGCAAGCGUUGUCCGGAAUUAUUGGGCGUAAAGGGCUCGCAGGCGGUUUCUUAAGUCUGAUGUGAAAGCCCCCGGCUCAACCGG